GGAGAUGUGGCCGAGUGGUCGAAGGCACACCCCUGCUAAGGGUGCAGGCUCGAAAGGGUCUCGAGGGUUCGAAUCCCUUCGUCUCCG
rnacentral:tRNA from 1 species